rnacentral:rRNA from 1 species
GUCCAGACUCCUACGGGAGGUAGCAGUGGGGGAUAUUGCACAAUGGGGGGAACCCUGAUGCAGCGACGCCGCGUGGGCGAUGGAGUGCUUCGGCAUGUAAAGCCCUAUCAGCAGGGAAGAAAAUGACGGUACCUGACUAAGAAGCCCCGGCUAAAUGCGUGCCAGCAGCCGCGGUAAUACGUAGGGAGCAAGCGUUGUCCGGAUUUACUGGGUGUAAAGGGUGCGUAGGCGGCCUUGCAAGUCAGAAGUGAAAUCCAUGGGCCUAACCCGUGAACUGCUUUUGAAACUGUAGGGCUUGAGUGAAGUAGAGGCAGGCGGAAUUCCCGGUGUAGCGGUGAAAUGCGUAGAGAUCGGGAGGAACACCAGUGGCGAAGGCGGCCUGCCGGGCUUUAACUGACGCUGAAGCACGAAAGCGUGGGUAGCAAACAGGAUUAGAUACCCUUGUA